GAUGAACGCUGGCGGCGUGCCUAAUACAUGCAAGUCGAGCGAACAGACGAGGAGCUUGCUCCUCUGACGUUAGCGGCGGACGGGUGAGUAACACGUGGAUAACCUACCUAUAAGACUGGGAUAACUUCGGGAAACCGGAGCUAAUACCGGAUAAUAUAUUGAACCGCAUGGUUCAAUAGUGAAAGACGGUUUUGCUGUCACUUAUAGAUGGAUCCGCGCCGCAUUAGCUAGUUGGUAAGGUAACGGCUUACCAAGGCAACGAUGCGUAGCCGACCUGAGAGGGUGAUCGGCCACACCGGAACUGAGACACGGUCCAGACUCCUACGGGAGGCAGCAGUAGGGAAUCUUCCGCAAUGGGCGAAAGCCUGACGGAGCAACGCCGCGUGAGUGAUGAAGGUCUUCGGAUCGUAAAACUCUGUUAUUAGGGAAGAACAAAUGUAUAAGUAACUAUGCACGUCUUGACGGUACCUAAUCAGAAAGCCACGGCUAACUACGUG
rnacentral:rRNA from 1 species